rnacentral:rRNA from 1 species
AUCUACAGCCAUGCCACCCUGAACGUGCCCAAUCUCGUCUGAUCUUGGAAGCUAAGCAGGGUCGGGUCUGGUUAGUACUUGGAUGGGAGACCACCAAGGAAUACUGGGUGCUGUAGGCA